CAGCUUCCUUAUUCGGCUGGGCUGCGCAGGCUGCCUGGACUACUUCACAGCACAAGGCUUAAGCAACAUCUACCAGAUUGAGAACUAUAACAUGGAGGACCUGUCCCGGAUGAAGAUUCCCGCCGAGUACCAGCACUCCAUCUGGAAGAGCAUCAUGGAGCACCGGCAGGCCAUGGACUUCUCCACCCCCCCCACAUAGUGCGCACCACCAGCAGGGCGUCCACCAUCAGCAUGGGCUCCUCCGAGGCCCGAGGCGAGCGCGUGAUCGACGCCGUGCGCUUCACCCUCCGGCAGACCAUCAGCUUCCCGCCGCGCGACGAGUGGUCCGACUUCUCCUUCGACCUGGACUCCCGCCGCAACAAACAGCAGCGAAUCAAGGAGGAGGGGGAGUGAGGCGUUCAAAUCUCACCCCCAAAUCUCACCCCCAAUCUCACCAACCCCACGUCUGUCAUUUCACGCCUGCUGUACGAACAUUUCUCUGGGUCAGAGUGGUGCAGGGAUGACGUGAUUCUCUAGGCUCUAAACUGGUUCCCUCGCCAAUUGGAUUAUCCCCAAAAGAAUAAUCUCUGUGGCAAACACACGGCUAUAAUACUUAUACGCUUUGUUCAACUGGAUAAUCCACAUUCAUUAACACCACUUUAAUGAUUUUUGAAGCAUAAAUGCAAAGGUAAAAAGCUAACGUUAGGCUAUCAAGUAGCUAUCAUGCGCGGUAGCAUGACUUGGCGGCUAAGCUAACGGCGGCUAAUCAGAAACAAGUUUAUUGCCAGGUACGUUUACAAAUAAAAGGAAUUUGCUGCACACAUAAACACAAUGUUUAUUUGUUAAAAUGUUUGGCAUAAUGACAUCAAGCAGUCUCGUUAGCCACUUGUUAGCACGGCCAUUUUUAAGACACACAAAAAGCUUCAUACAUUCACCAGAGGGAUAUCAACUGAUACAUGUUAAGGCGUAGAACAAAACCUAAAAAUAUCUACAGCUUGUGUUUACCACAGAUUUUAUUUCAGGCAUGUAAAAUAAAAAAAACUUCAAGACAAGGGAACCCACAAAUGCUGACUCAUUUCUGUGUUUUAGGACUCAUUCCUGCACCACUCUUAGUGCAAACAAAAAACCUGCAAAGGAACAAAAAUCACAUUCACAUAAAAGUGCACUUACUUUGCAUUUUUGUUCUCGUUAAAUCGCAGAGGAAAGCAACACGCGGCGUUGAGCGAGAGGUGCAUUUUAUUAUGUUCUAAUUUCUUGAGAGCACUUAAGAAAUGCUGAGGAUUUUCAAGCUUCAUUUUCUUUAUAUGAUUCAUUCCCAUUUAAGAGCUUGACUGGAAACCAAACUGGCAUUAGAGGGGAUUUAUAAGGGCUUUCUUUCUGCAGCGACUACGUGUAUUUGUAUUGUUUCUGGUUAUGCAGGUUAGACACUGGUUUUCAUUUUAAGUCAGCAUUGAUUGUAAACAUUUCAAACGUUUCCUGUCAGAAGUAUUAUGUCAAUUGAUGGGCGAUUUCGUGUUUCUGCUUCUAUAAUUUGCUCUUUUUUUUACGUCUAUUGUGAGAUCAGCUGUUUGUGAAGUAUGUGUUAAAGAGACAGAUGUAGCCACUUAUAGGCGUUUAUGCUCUUGACCCAGUGUUUUUACUAUGACUGAUGUCCUGCUGUGUUUCCGCCUGAUUUAAUGCACAAGUGGAUUAAAUCAGAGUUAUUUUUCUACGUAUGAACCAUGUUUUGGGGUUUAUUUCAUUUGAUAACUGGCCAAAACCUGAUAGAUGUAUAUAUAUUUGUAUAGUUCCUUUUUCUUUUAUAUAAAGUCUCCCUUAUUAAAAAAAGUAAUCAAGCAUAAUGAUGUGAAUAUAACUCAGUAAGAACAAAGUUUGUAUUGAUUCUCCGUCACCAGCCCUUUGUCUCAGUAGCCAGCAUUAUUAGAAAAAGCAGAGCGUUUUUUUCAUGUUUUUGUACAAUGUUUUGUAAAUAUGAUGCAAUAUACCACGGGUAUUUUGAUAUAAAUCUGAAAUAAAUAUCCAUACUUGCUGUAUCGCAUGUUGAAACUCCA